UACGUAGGCAGCGAGCGUUGUUCGGAAUUACUGGGCGUAAAGAGUGUGUAGGCGGUGCUCUAAGUUCGGUGUGAAAUCUCCCGCUUAACUGGGAGGGUGCGCCGGAAACUGGAGUGCUCGAGCGUGGGAGAGGAAAGCGGAAUUCCUGGUGUAGCGGUGAAAUGCGUAGAUAUCAGGAGGGAACACCUGCGGUGUAGACGGCUUUCUGGACCAUUGCUGACGCUGAGACACGAAAGCGUGGGUAGCAAACAGG
rnacentral:rRNA from 1 species